AUUGAACGCUGGCGGCAGGCCUAACACAUGCAAGUCGAGCGGAUGAAGGGAGCUUGCUCCUGGAUUCAGCGGCGGACGGGUGAGUAAUGCCUAGGAAUCUGCCUGGUAGUGGGGGAUAACGUCCGGAAACGGGCGCUAAUACCGCAUACGUCCUGAGGGAGAAAGGGGGGGAUCUUCGGACCUCCCGCUAUCAGGUGAGCCUAGGUCGGAUUAGCUAGUUGGUGGGGUAAAGGCCUACCAAGGCGACGAUCCGUAACUGGUGUGAGAGGAUGAUCAGUCACACUGGAACUGAGACGCGGUCCAGACUCCUACGGGAGGCAGCAGUGGGGAAUAUUGGACAAUGGGCGAAAGCCUGAUCCAGCCAUGCCGCGUGUGUGAAGAAGGUCUUCGGAUUGUAAAGCACUUUAAGUGGGGAGGAAGGGCAGUAAGUUAAUACCUUGCUGUUUUGACGGUACCAACAGAAUAAGCACCGGCUAACUUCGUG
rnacentral:rRNA from 1 species